GUGGGGAAUUUUGGACAAUGGGCGCAAGCCUGAUCCAGCCAUUCCGCGUGCAGGAUGAAGGCCUUCGGGUUGUAAACUGCUUUUGUACGGAACGAAACGGUCCGGGUUAAUACCCUGGGCUAAUGACGGUACCGUAAGAAUAAGCACCGGCUAACUACGUGCCAGCAGCCGCGGUAAUACGUAGGGUGCAAGCGUUAAUCGGAAUUACUGGGCGUAAAGCGUGCGCAGGCGGUUUUGUAAGACAGGCGUGAAAUCCCCGGGCUCAACCUGGGAAUUGCGCUUGUGACUGCAAGGCUGGAGUGCGGCAGAGGGGGAUGGAAUUCCGCGUGUAGCAGUGAAAUGCGUAGAUAUGCGGAGGAACACCGAUGGCGAAGGCAGUCCCCUGGGCCUGUACUGACGCUCAUGCACGAAAGCGUGGGGAGCAAACAGGAUUAGAAACCCGGGUAGUCC
rnacentral:rRNA from 1 species